rnacentral:rRNA from 1 species
UUAAGCGACUAAGCGUACACGGUGGAUGCCCUGGCAGUCAGAGGCGAUGAAGGACGUGCUAAUCUGCGAUAAGCGUCGGUAAGGUGAUAUGAACCGUUAUAACCGGCGAUUUCCGAAUGGGGAAACCCAGUGUGAUUCGUCACACUAUCAUUAACUGAAUCCAUAGGUUAAUGAGGCGAACCGGGGGAACUGAAACAUCUAAGUACCCCGAGGAAAAGAAAUCAACCGAGAUUCCCCCAGUAGCGGCGAGCGAACGGGGAGGAGCCCAGAGCCUGAAUCAGUGUGUGUGUUAGUGGAAGCGUCUGGAAAGGCGCGCGAUACAGGGUGACAGCCCCGUACACAAAAAUGCACAUGCUGUGAGCUCGAUGAGUAGGGCGGGACACGUGGUAUCCUGUCUGAAUAUGGGGGGACCAUCCUCCAAGGCUAAAUACUCCUGACUGACCGAUAGUGAACCAGUACCGUGAGGGAAAGGCGAAAAGAACCCCGGCGAGGGGAGUGAAAAAGAACCUGAAACCGUGUACGUACAAGCAGUGGGAGCACAGAGCAAUCUGUGUGACUGCGUACCUUUUGUAUAAUGGGUCAGCGACUUAUAUUCUGUAGCAAGGUUAACCGAAUAGGGGAGCCGAAGGGAAACCGAGUCUUAACUGGGCGUUAAGUUGCAGGGUAUAGACCCGAAACCCGGUGAUCUAGCCAUGGGCAGGUUGAAGGUUGGGUAACACUAACUGGAGGACCGAACCGACUAAUGUUGAAAAAUUAGCGGAUGACGUGUUGCUGGGAGUGAAAGGCCAAUCAAACCGGGAGAUUGCUGGUUCUCCCCGAAAGCUAUUUAGGUAGCGCCUCGUGAAUUCAUCUCCGGGGGUAGAGCACUGUUUCGGCAAGGGGGUCAUCCCGACUUACCAACCCGAUGCAAACUGCGAAUACCGGAGAAUGUUAUCACGGGAGACACACGGCGGGUGCUAACGUCCGUCGUGAAGAGGGAAACAACCCAGACCGCCAGCUAAGGUCCCAAAGUCAUGGUUAAGUGGGAAACGAUGUGGGAAGGCCCAGACAGCCAGGAUGUUGGCUUAGAAGCAGCCAUCAUUUAAAGAAAGCGUAAUAGCUCACUGGUCGAGUCGGCCUGCGCGGAAGAUGUAACGGGGCUAAACCAUGCACCGAAGCUGCGGCAGCGACACUGUGUGUUGUUGGGUAGGGGAGCGUUCUGUAAGCCUGUGAAGGUGUGCUGUGAGGCAUGCUGGAGGUAUCAGAAGUGCGAAUGCUGACAUAAGUAACGAUAAAGCGGGUGAAAAGCCCGCUCGCCGGAAGACCAAGGGUUCCUGUCCAACGUUAAUCGGGGCAGGGUGAGUCGACCCCUAAGGCGAGGCCGAAAGGCGUAGUCGAUGGGAAACAGGUUAAUAUUCCUGUACUUGGUGUUACUGCGAAGGGGGGACGGAGAAGGCUAUGUUGGCCGGGCGACGGUUGUCCCGGUUUAAGCGUGUAGGCUGGUUUUCCAGGCAAAUCCGGAAAAUCAAGGCUGAGGCGUGAUGACGAGGCACUACGGUGCUGAAGCAACAAAUGCCCUGCUUCCGGAAAAGCCUCUAAGCAUCAGGUAACAUCAAAUCGUACCCCAAACCGACACAGGUGGUCAGGUAGAGAAUACCAAGGCGCUUGAGAGAACUCGGGUGAAGGAACUAGGCAAAAUGGUGCCGUAACUUCGGGAGAAGGCACGCUGAUAUGUAGGUGAAGUCCCUCGCGGAUGGAGCUGAAAUCAGUCGAAGAUACCAGCUGGCUGCAACUGUUUAUUAAAAACACAGCACUGUGCAAACACGAAAGUGGACGUAUACGGUGUGACGCCUGCCCGGUGCCGGAAGGUUAAUUGAUGGGGUCAGCGCAAGCGAAGCUCUUGAUCGAAGCCCCGGUAAACGGCGGCCGUAACUAUAACGGUCCUAAGGUAGCGAAAUUCCUUGUCGGGUAAGUUCCGACCUGCACGAAUGGCGUAAUGAUGGCCAGGCUGUCUCCACCCGAGACUCAGUGAAAUUGAACUCGCUGUGAAGAUGCAGUGUACCCGCGGCAAGACGGAAAGACCCCGUGAACCUUUACUAUAGCUUGACACUGAACAUUGAGCCUUGAUGUGUAGGAUAGGUGGGAGGCUUUGAAGUGUGGACGCCAGUCUGCAUGGAGCCGACCUUGAAAUACCACCCUUUAAUGUUUGAUGUUCUAACGUGGACCCGUGAUCCGGGUUGCGGACAGUGUCUGGUGGGUAGUUUGACUGGGGCGGUCUCCUCCUAAAGAGUAACGGAGGAGCACGAAGGUUGGCUAAUCCUGGUCGGACAUCAGGAGGUUAGUGCAAUGGCAUAAGCCAGCUUGACUGCGAGCGUGACGGCGCGAGCAGGUGCGAAAGCAGGUCAUAGUGAUCCGGUGGUUCUGAAUGGAAGGGCCAUCGCUCAACGGAUAAAAGGUACUCCGGGGAUAACAGGCUGAUACCGCCCAAGAGUUCAUAUCGACGGCGGUGUUUGGCACCUCGAUGUCGGCUCAUCACAUCCUGGGGCUGAAGUAGGUCCCAAGGGUAUGGCUGUUCGCCAUUUAAAGUGGUACGCGAGCUGGGUUUAGAACGUCGUGAGACAGUUCGGUCCCUAUCUGCCGUGGGCGCUGGAGAACUGAGGGGGGCUGCUCCUAGUACGAGAGGACCGGAGUGGACGCAUCACUGGUGUUCGGGUUGUCAUGCCAAUGGCACUGCCCGGUAGCUAAAUGCGGAAGAGAUAAGUGCUGAAAGCAUCUAAGCACGAAACUUGCCCCGAGAUGAGUUCUCCCUGACCCUUUAAGGGUCCUGAAGGAACGUUGAAGACGACGACGUUGAUAGGCCGGGUGUGUAAGCGCAGCGAUGCGUUGAGCUAACCGGUACUAAUGAACCGUGAGGCUUAACCU